rnacentral:lncRNA from 1 species
UUUCUACGGAAAACGAGGGGUCCAUGGGGACCAUUGAUGCUGCCACGGGAAAACUCCUAGCAGACAGCUGUGCUGUACUGUUGACACCACGGGCUGAUCUUCAUAACUGCAGUGCUCAGACAAUGAGCAGUUCAUCAAGACACAGAGACUGCUUUCCUUUGCAAGUCAUACACAUAGGAAAUAUGAAUAAUUGCCACCGGAAGAAUUUGUUUCCGUCUUAUUUCUAAAGCAAAGCAUUUUCUGUGUUUUCGCUGUUUGUAUACAUUUGCUGUUUACUAUAUUAAAGUAGUUUAUACUGUAGCAUGGGGGGAAAAUUAAUUGAUAGAGAUUUCAGCUUGGUUUUUGACCAUCCAAAAUUCUUAACUCAGACAGACAUUUCAUUUUUCUAAACUGGACAUUCUGCAGAGAUAAAUGAAGACAGAUGGCAUCACCUCGAAGCUGGUUAUCCUGAUGAAAGAUCUCAGGGAGUCGCAGCUGUAAGCAACUGUGACCCUUUGACAUCUUACAUGGAGACAGGUUUGGAGAGAGAAGGGAGGCAGCAUGUUCACCCAGCUGCGGCUCUGAUAUGAAUGCUGACAGCGUUGCUGGGAUUAUUUUUUGUUUAAACUCUGCAUCCCAUUAGUUCUGAUAUGAAAAGCUGAUCUUGUGACUGUAAUGUAUGCACGUUUCUGCCACCAGGAAAAAGCACAGUCUGAUUGAGCAAGGUAGAAUCCAACACCAUUCAGCCCAAAUAACCUAAAACCCCAACCCUGAUUGUGUCAUGUCAUAUAUUUUAAGAACCCAGUCCAGGCUGUUACAUCAAGUAAUAUCGAAUCAACAGACAGUUAAAAUAAUGACAAUGGGGCUAUCUGAAAAAAUAAAAGCCAUUUGGCCCCUGUAACUGUCAGGCUAUUAAUGUAGAAAAUGAAUGUCUGGGGUUGUUUUCCUGACACUGGAGAAACAUUCCAAUGAGCAAUGAUAAAUUGGAAGGUGAGGGGAAAAUCUCUUAUCUCUACAUAGACUAAAAAGCAG